AAAAAAAAAAAAAAAAAGAAAUCCCAUCCUAGUGACAUAUACAGUAAACACAUGGCCAUUAUUUCUUUUUAUUGGUUCUUUUGGUUGGCAAAAAGAGAGUAUUAACAAAAAAGACCCAAUGGAGAAAGUGUUUUAGACACAAGAUAUUGCCAGGCUGCCAACCUGACAUACUCACUGCAAUCCGGAAUAGGAACCUGACAAAUGAUAGAUUUAGGAAACAAUCAGGGGAAAAGAAAAUAGUUUGAAUCAAGCCAAAGCAAAGCCUUACUUGGUGGAAUGGGGAAAACACAUACAAGAAAACAAAAUCUUCAGGGGAAAAAUAUUUGUGGAAGAAGUAAUAUUUAUUCAGACUCAAGGCAAUUUUUACAUUUUCAUGAGGAAAACAAACUGUCUCAGAUCAUUUUCCCUUUCCUCCACUGUGUCAGAACUUUCAUUUUCUCCUUUACAAAAAGUAGGAAAGAGAAAGUGGGUGCCUUUUUAAGAAGCCGAUUUUAAUGAAAAUCUUCUGGCCUUUUAAAAUUAUAUCUCCCAUUUUGCAGCCAUGAACAUAUUAUUUUUUAACUUAUAAAAGAAUCCUUAUUGCCUCUUACAAAAACCAUAUGUUGUACUGGACCAAAUUUCAGAUAAUUACUUAUCUCGCAGAAAUAUCAUGUUCAGCUCCACCCAAGACCAACAAAGAGUGGAGACGGAUAUUACUAAAAGAGAAGAAAAAGGAAAAUGAGGCAUGAACCUCUAAAAAAAUAAAAAGAAAUUAGUAAUUAUUACUAUUUAUUUAUAGUUCACGUGUCCAUUGCAUCAGCCCUUGCACAAAAAUAGGAUGAGGUCCUUCUCCAUUAUGGGGCCUGCCAACAAAACAAUGACUACAGAAAGGGAGACAUUUGCUUUUGACUUCUUGAACACCGUGGCUGAUCUGUUACUUUCUGGAAAUGAGAUAAGGUUUAGGCAUUUGCCAGGAAAGCUUUCUCCCUUACCUACACAAGUUUGACAUUUAAAUAGACACAGCAAUAUUUUUCAGACUUUUUUUUUCACUCUCUCCAAUGGAAAAAGCUUUAGUAUAACUAAAAUUUUAAAAGGGUCACUUCAAUAAUGGUAAAUCUAAAGCAGUAUCAGGUAGGGCUAUAGCUAGCCUCUGCUGAAACACCCUUUUGGAUUUCUCAGUCCUUGAACCUCACCCUAAGAUGAAGGAUUAAAUUAAAAAGAUUGACAUCUUAUCUUCAUUUUUGCUGGAAGAAAAAAAUGCUUUUAUAUUCACAUUUUCAUAUAGGAGGAAAAUUGUGUACCAGGCAGCUGUAUACUUCAUGUUGACAGCUGUAUUUCUCACAGAUGUGAUCAUUCAAAUCUGAGGAAGUCACUUGAGCAGUUUGAGCACAUCCUAUGUAGGCUUCUGGAAAUGAUCAGAGAUACCUUGAAAUUGUCCUAAAGGGAGAAGAGCUCCAGGAGAAUGUACACUUUGUAGCCGUGGAGAUUAUUUUUUCUCUUACGGAUGUGGUGCUCAGGGACAUGAUUUAAUGGAGGGUUGUUAGGGUAGUAUGGUUUGAUUGCCGUUGGACUUGAUGACCUUCAAGGUAUUUUCCAAUUUGAACAAUUCUAUGAUUCUAUAAGAGACGAUAGAGAUCUUUGGUUCUCUACUUUUAUUUUUCAUGCAAGUAGCAAGAGCGAAUUUGUGAAGUCCAAAGAGUUAAUAGAACAUUACACUGCUGGUAUGCCGCAGAAGGCAGGACUGGAUGCUGUUUCUCCUGUGGUGCAUGGUUGCUUGCUGACCUGAUUUUUACAGGUGAAGAAAUCAAAAUAAAAACUGCCUCAGAAUGAUGGAAAAAUGAGCUGUAACUUCACAUCAGUCCAAGUGUGAUGGCAGGGCUGGUACAAACAUUUCUGUCUUUACUGGUUGGGCAACAUUUUCCCUUGUGCCCAGUUCUAAUAUCUGCUUUAAUGCUUCCCAGCCAGUGAUAUGAGGGGAUCCACAGCAAAUCACUCAUAUUAAAAUCAGCGAUCUAAAAACAGCUGAUCCAACAGACAACAAACUUGUCAGUGACACAUAAGAGGCAGUCAAGAGAAAAUCUGCACUGGCGGCAAAGUAAGAGUGGGUCUCCUUGGGGAAAAGGGAAACCUGUUUUCUGUUCUGAUGGAACUCAGACAUAUCAUUUCAACAUCACACCCGCAUAAUUGAUACUUUUGUUUGGGAUUUUCCAGUGUGCAGAAUCAAAACACCAAAUCUUGUGAACUGUGUGAAGAUGAAGGUAAGAAACUCAAGUCAGUCGUAGAAUUGCAAAGCGUUAUAAGUAACCUAUGUGAGUAACUUGCGCUCUCUCAAAUACCUCAUCAAUCUGAAAGCUACAAUGCUCAUAUGUCUCCUCUGCCAAUUCGUUUUAACUGUCAAAGAGGUUGUUUUCAAAGGGCUCAAGUGACAGCUCAGGAAUUCAUCUUCGUGGAUUGGCAGGGCCUGGGAACUGUGUCUCUGAACUGUACAGAGGUCAGUCAUUUAAUUUCAUACUGGUUCACAUGAUUUAUACAUUCUCCAGCUCUUGAUUCAGAACAGGCUGUGCUUCCUCUGCUAGUCAGGAUGUAAUGCCUGUCUAGGGAUUGCUCCCUUCUGUGUAGCUUGUACAAUUACAAAGCACAAUGUUGGUUCUAAAAAAGAUCAAUACAAUAUUAUUAUUCUCGUAUCAAAAGAAGCAAUACGAAGGUGUUCUGUGAACACAAAAUCUGACAAAAGGACUUGUCAGAUGUUAACUGAACAUCCCUCUGACAACAUUUAUGGGCACGGGCAAUAUCAGUGCUCAGUUCUUGGCAUUUGCAAAGUAGUGGUGUGCUAAGGGGUAAGAGGUAUAAUGUACGAGGAAGAAGGAUGGAAUUCAUGAGAGACUUUUCCUAUAGGGAGCAACAGGAAUGCUUAACAAUGUUAAAAACUCAAAAUGUUCUAGUAUGCAUAUUUUUAGACAAAGAAGGAAAUUUAUGAAGUGAUAGAAGAAUUUGUUUGUCCAGCCCUGAUAGUUUCAAAGGAAGAAUCUGAGGUUUCUGUGUUCCCAAAAUGGCCUCACUAUAUUUAGCAUGACAUUUUUGUCACCUCUACACUUCUUUGCUCAUACAGGGUCCUCCGUCUUUGCAAUACUGAGAAGAAUUCAAAGGUAGCCUGCAAAGCUGACUUGGGAGCGCCAUCAAGACAGAAACAUCACCCAGGACUUGCUGAGAAAUUUGCAUCUGAGAUCAGUAGAAUGAUUCCAUCUCAAAUUCAGCAAAUAGUGCAGUAUGAGAGGGAAAGACAUCAUCUUUUUUUGUUCUCUUUUAUUUUUUUCUUCUUUUUUUUUUCCCCCUCCUUUUUCUACUUUUCUUCAUUGCCUUUUUGUUAAUCCUGUUCACUGUGGUCUUCUGUGUUGGGAUAGUUAAAUCCUGAGGACAAUUCUACUCCUCCUGUGCUAAUCGCUGUAAGUUCUCUUUCCCAUCCCACUGAGAUGGAUUUUGUGCUGCUUAGCUGCCUGCCAGGUUAAACCACAACAAAACAGAAGAAAGGAAAAGCCUAAAAAAGUGAAGACUACUCAACGAUGCUUCAAGAUAUGCAGUGUUUCAUCAUAACUUUCUGAACUUUAUUCAGAGAAGUCUGGCAGAUCAGCCACCCUCUACUGGAAUGCAUCCAAGCAUAGCGAAACAUUCCUGAAAACGGAGUAUAUUUACCUUGUAUAGCACCAGAUUCAAAGGGAUAGGCAGGUAACAGCUUGGUGCUGCUGUGUGCAAUUGUCUUUGAAGAAUUCCAAGAUAAAGAAGGAGGUUGAGCCAUGUGGCAUCCCAUUUUACUGCAAGACCUCGCCAUGAGUCAUGUGCACUGAUGUCUGUAUGAGGAUCUGAGAUGUUAUUGUAAGACAAAAGAGUAAACCUAGUGAGGUGUGUCUAAUGUGCCAUUUCAUAUGCUGCCUUGACAGUGGGGUUGGUGAAAUAUGGAAGAGGCCACUUUCUCCCUGGUUCAUGCAUCCUCAGUGCAGGGGUGCAGCUUUAACAGUGAGCUGUCUAAAUAAAUCUACAUAUGGGUGG